GGUGAGGUCGGAACCCGGACGUGACGUCACUACCGGCUGAUGAACACCCGCCAUCAGCUGCACCUCGUCUGUGGGGGGCGUAGUGUGUACAAAGAUCAUGAUGAAAGGCGAGAGAUACUCCUACGUCUAGAGAUUUUCGACCACAUCCCGCCCGUCGUACCGUGUGUGACGUCACUCGUGUGUAUCCCGGAGUACAAAUAAACGGUCGUAAAGUAUAAACUUACCGAAGUACCAAGUAAUCUUGGCGGCGGGCCGUCCGUCAGGUACUAUACACUGUGCCACGAAACCGUCACCCUCGCGGAAGGUCGGCUGAGGAGGAGACACCAGCUGGGGUACUCCGGGCGCCUCUGAGGAAGGAGAUGAUGAGCUUUAGUAUGAAUCGACCGCGGUUGACGUCGAACUGUCCGUGUGUACGUACUCGCCACGAGCAACCUCAUGGAGGCGCUGAGCUCGAUGCUGCCGGUCUGCGGCGGCAGCGUGCAGGAGAUGUUCCCGUUCCACUCCUCCCUGACGUGUUUGAUGUGCGCGCCGCACUCGCCCGCCUCCAACCCCUGGCCGGAGUACGUCACCUCCUCCUCCUGGUUGUUCGGGAUGAGUCUGUACGACGUCGUCCCCACCGUCACCCUGGAACAGACACACGCACACACACAUUAUGAACGAUCGCAUAGAAAGGACGCCAUGUAGAUGUGGCAGGAUAUUAUUAUUUAUAAUCUGUUUGUUGAUAACUCUAUUUUAAUAUAUGUAUAGAACAAAGUUCACAUUAUAACGAAGCGCCACCCUCUGGUUAUAAAAGUGAUCAUAUAUUCAUGGCAAUCAUCGCGGGCGAUGCGGGCGCUCGUAAUGAGCCGUUAGGUAUUCAUACCUAACACUACACGAGGGCCUCCAGAGACGAGAUACUCACACACUCAGACAUCUCCGGACCUUCUGAGAGAUCGACAUAUAUCACAUACUUAGCCAUAUAAAAAAAGAAAGAAAGUAGAGGAGACAGAGCUUGAGAUACUUCGUCAAGGAAAAUACAAAUGCCAUGCAUACGCCAGGGUCCAGAGCGGCCGCGGCAGUCUGAUAUUAAAUAGGCACACGAUAAAGAGCGCGAUAGUUCAAAAGUGAAGUGAAGUGUCAUAAUUAUGGCGCAGAAGAACAUCUCACCGACAGGAGUCUAUGGGGUAGGGCACCUUGCAGAACACUGUGAGGUCGUCACCGACACGACGCACUGCCUCCCGCGGAGAGAUGUCCACCAGCUGGGAUUCCACUGGAAAAGAAACAAUUGAUGUAGUUCAGGACAUAUGCAUGUAGCCCUCGUGCGACACAACUAGAGGCGGCGUGCUGGAGUCGCAUCAGUGAACCUUGAAUAGAAUAAGACAUAGCACAGCAAUAGUGAAGCGAGUUCAGAAGAGAAGAGAAGUCAACAACACACUCUGCGCACUCACUUAUUCUCAGACUGAAAAUGUUUAAAUAUAUAAUAAUAAUAUAGCUGUCCAUAAACUCA